AGAAUUGAGUGUGGACGUCGUG
rnacentral:miRNA from 1 species